AUGCUUAUCUGACAGGGGAGAUACCAUAAUUAUGAAGGAGUUUUUCCCAGGGUGAGGCUUAUCCAUUGCUCUCCAGGUGUGCUGACCUCUGCAAUUUCCCCCAAGUGAUUUCCUCAACUAUAUAAUUUGUCAAAGUGGGGGACUGUGUUUGCACUUUCCCCUU